AUUGAACGCAGGCGGCAUGCCUUACACAUGCAAGUCGAACGGCAGCACGGGAGCAAUCCUGGUGGCGAGUGGCGAACGGGUGAGUAAUAUAUCGGAACGUGCCCAGUCGUGGGGAUAACGUAGCGAAAGCUACGCUAAUACCGCAUACGAUCUAUGGAUGAAAGCGGGGGAUCGCAAGACCUCGCGCGAUUGGAGCGGCCGAUAUCAGAUUAGGUAGUUGGUGAGGUAAAGGGCUCACCAAGCCGACGAUCUGUAGCUGGUCUGAGAGGACGACCAGCCACACUGGGACUGAGACACGGCCCAGACUCCUACGGGAGGCAGCAGUGGGGAAUUUUGGACAAUGGGCGCAAGCCGUGAUCCAGCAAUGCCGCGUGCA
rnacentral:rRNA from 1 species